ACGGGCGGCGGAGGCUGAACUGGAGGCGGAAGGAGGCGGCAGCGGAGGGGUAAAUGGUGGCGCCCGUCCUCCUAAGAGUGAGGGUGCCGCGGUGGGAGCUGGUGGCCCGACACCCGUGUGCACCGCCGGAAUCUUGCUCUCCAUCUGCGCCUACCAUGUGGAGCGGGAGGAGCGGGACCCCGAGCACCCGGCCUUCUGCGACCUGGGGCCCUGGGUGAAGUGCUUCGCCGCUCUUGCCUCCAGGGGUCUUGGGCAUCAUCGGUCCAGGGAAGGAAGCAAAGCAGAUGGAGGAUGGCGUGCUGGUGACGGACAGUGCAGGGGAGCAACUACAGAGGUCACCGUGUACUUGAACUGGCUGGUUCAGAUGUCAUCUGAGAUGGAAACCAACAUUGUGGCCAUGGAGAGACUCAAGGAGUAUUCAGAAACUGAGAAGGA